rnacentral:lncRNA from 1 species
CCCCAAAACUGCCCGGGGACCCCAAAACUGCCCAGGACCCCAAAAACGGCCCAGGGGUACAGAGCACACCCCCAGAACUGCCCCAGGACUCCCCAAACUGCCCAGGGUACAGAGCACACCCCAAACCUGCCCCUUUAAGGGUGAGGGUCCCCAGAAUCUUUUAGAGACCCCCAAAUUCCUCCUUGCACUGCUCUCCUCGCACCCUGGGCAUCCCAAACCCGCCCACAGUCCCGAUUUGGGGGUGUCUGAGGGGUCUGUGUGUCCCCAUUCCCGAUUUUGGGGGUGUCUGAGGGGUCUGUGUGUGUCCAUUCCCGAUUUGGGGGUGUCUGAGGGGGUCUGUGUGUCCAUUCCCGAUUUUGGGGGUGUCUGACGGGUGUCCCCCUCCCCAGCUGGAGCAGGCGGAGCACCGGGGGGCUCAGGGGGUGUCUGAGGAGUCUGUGUGUCCAUUCCCAAUUUGGGGGUGUCUGACGGGUGUUUCCCCACCUGUCCCAAUUUUUGGGGUGUCUGAGGGGUCUGUGUGUCCAUUCCCGAUUUGGGGGUGUCUGAGGGGUCUGUGUGUGUCCAUUCCCGAUUUGGGGGUGUCUGACGGGUGUCCCCCUCCCCAGCUGGAGCAGGCGGAGCGCCGGGGGGCUCGGGGGGUCUCUGAGGGGUCUGUGUGUGUCCUGUCCCAAUUUGGGGGUGUCUGAGGGGUCUGUGUGUGUCCAUUCCCAAUUUGGGGGUGUCUGAGGGGUCUGUGUGUGUCCUGUCCCAAUUUGGGGGUGUCUGAGGGGGUCUGUGUGUGUCCUGUCCCAAUUUGGGGGUGUCUGAGGG